rnacentral:rRNA from 1 species
GACGAACGCUGGCGGCGUGCUUAACACAUGCAAGUCGAACGGAAAGGCCCUGCUUGCAGGGUGCUCGAGUGGCGAACGGGUGAGUAACACGUGGGUGAUCUGCCCCUUACUUUGGGAUAAGCCUGGGAAACUGGGUCUAAUACUGGAUAGGACCAUGCUGUAGGUGGUGUGGUGGAAAGAUUAGUUUCGGUAAGGGAUGAGCUCGCGGCCUAUCAGCUUGUUGGUGGGGUAAUGGCCUACCAAGGCGUCGACGGGUAGCCGGCCUGAGAGGGUGGAAGGCCACAUUGGGACUGAGAUACGGCCCAGACUCCUACGGGAGGCAGCAGUGGGGAAUAUUGCACAAUGGGCGCAAGCCUGAUGCAGCGACGCCGCGUGGGGGAUGACGGCCUUCGGGUUGUAAACUCCUUUCAGCCAUGACGAAGCCCUUGUGGUGACGGUAGUGGUAGAAGAAGCACCGGCUAACUACGUG